AAAUAAAUAAAAUCGAAUCAAAAUCGAAUAAAAACAAAGAGUCGUCGAAUGCUCGAGCUGACGACAAUUUCCGAAAAAUCUUUACAUCCGACGGACUGACAUGGAUCAUAGUUAAUAUAGAAGACCAGGUUUGGAAGGCUGGGUCACGUGACGAAAUAUGUUGGAUUUUUGGUCACGUGGAACAUAUAGGGCAUUGCGUGCAAGAUCG